UACGUAGGGUGCAAGCGUUGUCCGGAAUUAUUGGGCGUAAAGAGCUCGUAGGCGGUCUGUCGCGUCGGCUGUGAAAACUCGGGGCUCAACUCCGAGCUUGCAGUCGAUACGGGCAGGCUAGAGUUCGGCAGGGGAGACUGGAAUUCCUGGUGUAACGGUGAAAUGUGUUGAUAUCAGGAGGAACACCCAUGGCGAAGGCAGCAAACUGGGCAUCAACUGACGCUGAGGCGCGAAAGCGUGGGUAGCAAACAGG
rnacentral:rRNA from 1 species